rnacentral:rRNA from 1 species
AUGAACGCUGGCGGCGUGCCUAAUACAUGCAAGUCGAGCGAACAGACGAGGAGCUUGCUCCUCUGACGUUAGCGGCGGACGGGUGAGUAACACGUGGAUAACCUACCUAUAAGACUGGGAUAACUUCGGGAAACCGGAGCUAAUAUCGGAUAAUAUAUUGAACCGCAUGGUUCAAUAGUGAAAGACGGUUUUGCUGUCACUUAUAGAUGGAUCCGCGCCGCAUUAGCUAGUUGGUAAGGUAACGGCUUACCAAGGCAACGAUGCGUAGCCGACCUGAGAGGGUGAUCGGCCACACUGGAACUGAGACACGGUCCAGACUCCUACGGGAGGCAGCAGUAGGGAAUCUUCCGCAAAGGGCGAAAGCCUGACGGAGCAACGCCGCGUGAGUGAUGAAGGUCUUCGGAUCGUAAAACUCUGUUAUUAGGGAAGAACAAAUGUGUAAGUAACUAUGCACGUCUUGACGGUACCUAAUCAGAAAGCCACGGCUAACUACGUG